GACGAACGCUGGCGGCGUGCUUAACACAUGCAAGUCGAACGGAAAGGCCCCUUCGGGGGUCCUCGAGUGGCGAACGGGUGAGUAACACGUGAGUAACCUGCCCUUGACUUCGGGAUAACUUCAGGAAACUGGGGCUAAUACCGGAUAGGAAUCCUUGCUGCAUGGUGGGGUUGGAAAGCUUCGGCGGUUUUGGAUGGACUCGCGGCUUAUCAGCUUGUUGGUGGGGUAGUGGCUUACCAAGGCUUUGACGGGUAGCCGGCCUGAGAGGGCGACCGGCCACAUUGGGACUGAGAUACGGCCCAGACUCCUACGGGAGGCAGCAGUGGGGAAUAUUGCACAAUGGGCGGAAGCCUGAUGCAGCAACGCCGCGUGCGGGAUGACGGCCUUCGGGUUGUAAACCGCUUUCAGCAGGGGCGAAGCUUGUGGUGACGGUACCUGCAGAAGAAGCACCGGCUAACUACGUG
rnacentral:rRNA from 1 species